AAAGCACUGGCUGGAUGCUGACAGGCUGGGUGUUUAAAGAAAGCAGAAUUUAUUCUUCUGGUGGUCUGGGCAAUUUAGACACCUUUCAGACAGAAGUAGUGACCAAACAGAGAAGGAUCUGGCAGCACCACAGGAAGAGACCUCAAACUAGAAAAUCCUGAGCAAAUACCAGGGGAGCAAAGGCAAAUGGCUUGGAAGGUGCUGGUGUGACUGCUCUGUGUGGGCCAUCUUUGGGAGGAACACUGGAAGCAGAGCUGGCAGAUGUUGGGAUGAGGGAGGACAGCACUCAUGAAGAAGAUGUGUUGGAGGAAAUUCAGGAUCCCAUCUGGACAAAUACAAGAGAAAUAUUCAUUUAAAUGAAGAAUCCCUGGAAGGCACAGAGCCAGAACUUCUGCUGCUGGUGGGGAGGAGGAUGUAAUCCAAGCCCACAGGCAGGCAGAGAUGCUGGAUUCAUCAUCUCAGGUGGAGAACCACGGCUGUGUAGCCCAUCCCUGAAAUCAGAGAAGACUUUGGAAGUGGUGUUGAGCAGAGAGUCAAAGCAAAGCAGAGAUGCUGAUGAAUUCAGUACUAACCCAUGGAAAUGAGCACCUGGGAGCAGAAUUUCCCUACAGGCAUCUCAGAACUGAGCUGGAGCAGCCCCAGGGCUGCAGUGCUGGAUCUGUGCUGAGCAUGUUCUGCCCAUGGUACCUGCAAACAUCUCAUUCCAGGUGGAUGUUUGUGUAGUGAGAGUUUGGCAGAUGGAAAACCCAGUCCCCUGGGGAGCUGUGUGACACUUGAACUCAAAUUUCCUAUCAUGAAAAGCCUGUUCUCCCCCUGCACCACCCAGGCCAGUAAUUUACUUUGGCUCUGGACAGGGGAUGGGAGAGCUCAGACUGCACCAAAUCAAGAGAGCCUUCCUGCAGAGCUGAUCCAACCACUUUGCAGAGCUGCACCUAAACAUAAUAGCACUGAAAAAUACAAAC